UGCUGUACCAUGGGACUGAGAUAAGGAAGAGAAGCAGUAAAGAUAUAAUGAGGUGGGCCUGUGCUUUUAAGACAGGCCUGCUUUUCCAAGACAAAAUCCAAUUCUGGCUAAAUUCCACAGGGAGAGAGAUCUUAAUGGGCUUGAGUGAGCAGGAAAUUAGACAGAAAGUGAGAUUGGAGCCAGCAGAACUUAGAGCAAGCGAAGAGCAACAGCCACAAAAAUCUGCUGGAGUAGCAACGAACAAAGGACUGGCCUGUUCCCAAUCAUGAUAGAAGCCAGCCCUGGAUGCAUGAACCUUUUCAACUACUGUAGGAAUACGAACCCCUGUCUCUCUUUUCCCCGUCCCCUAGAUAAACAUUUUAUCCAGCGGUACCAAUUAUGCACCCCAGAAAUGCUUCUUUCAAAGAAACGCCCAUUGUUUGAAACCCGCUAAAACGUUUACACAGCUUCUACAAUAUGUAUGUCCAGGCUUUGACUCGAAUGCAGUUGUGAAGGAGAGGAAGUUUCUGAUUUAGAGAGCAGCCAUUGGGAAUGUUUAUCAGUGUGUGUCUUUUGUAGGCACUUGGGAUUCCAACUCAUUCUCAGAACUCUAAAACCAUGAGCGGUGAAGAGGAAAAACACCCUUUUCUCUAGGAUAGAUGGUGGCUCACACUUCAUCACAGGAAAUUCCAGGGCGAUGGAGGCAGGCCAUUAUAAAGCUUGGCUACCCGGUCCCAAAAUUCUAGACUCAGCAGUGCCCUGGAAAAUGCUGGGAAAUAACUGGGGAAUACCAGUUAAACCUGAAGUCCCACGUGCAUGGGGAAGUACAAAGAAGAAAUGGCUGCCUGCCUGAAUUCAAGUAACCAUGCAGGGCUUGACUCACUCUUCAGCCAAAACAGCCCCCAGCUGAGUGUAAAACACAGAUCUAUGCCGCAAGGCACGGGGAAUAAAGAUUGUUAGACCUUUAAUGUCCCAGUGUUAAGCGCUUAAAAUGCUGCUUCCCCCGCCUUUACUCCUCUCAAAUAGAUCACAAACUUAAGUAAGUUUAAAUGCUUUACUUACAGUAGCCAUAGGCACCUCACUCUUGUAUCGUUCAAUGCUUACAGCAGAAACAACGCAGGCAAGGUACUCUUGGUUACAAAAUACAGAGGUUGGUCUCAGACACGUGG